UAGUCCAUGCUGUAAACGAUGUUCAUUAGGUGUAGGAGGUAUCGACUCCUUCUGUGCCGUAGCUAACGCGUUAAAUGAACCGCCUGGGGAAUACGGCCGCAAGGCUAAAACUCAAAGAAAUUGACGGGGGCCCGCACAAGCGGUGGAGCAUGUGGGUCAAUUGGAUGCUACGCCAAGAACCUUACCAGGGUUUGACAUGUUACUGACCGCGUAAGAGAUUACGUUUUCUGCGCAAGCAGACAGUAUCACAGGUGGUGCAUGGCUGUCGUCAGCUCGUGUCGUGAGAUGUUGGGUUAAGUCCCGCAACGAGCGCAACCCUCACCGAAUGUUGCCAUCGGGUAAUGCCGGGCACUCUUUCGGAACUGGCCUGAGUAAUCAGGAGGAAGGCGAGGACGACGUCAAGUCCGCAUGCCCCUUAUAUCCUGGGCUGCACACGUGCUACAAUGGCCGGUACAAAGGGUUGCGAAGCCGCGAGGUGAAGCCAAUCCCCAAAACGGUCCC
rnacentral:rRNA from 1 species